rnacentral:rRNA from 1 species
AACGAACGCUGGCGGCAUGCCUAACACAUGCAAGUCGAACGAGACCUUCGGGUCUAGUGGCGCACGGGUGCGUAACGCGUGGGAAUCUGCCCUUGGGUUCGGAAUAACAGUUAGAAAUGACUGCUAAUACCGGAUAAUGUCUUCGGACCAAAGAUUUAUCGCCCAGGGAUGAGCCCGCGUAGGAUUAGCUAGUUGGUGAGGUAAAGGCUCACCAAGGCGACGAUCCUUAGCUGGUCUGAGAGGAUGAUCAGCCACACUGGGACUGAGACACGGCCCAGACUCCUACGGGAGGCAGCAGUGGGGAAUAUUGGACAAUGGGCGAAAGCCUGAUCCAGCAAUGCCGCGUGAGUGAUGAAGGCCUUAGGGUUGUAAAGCUCUUUUACCCGGGAUGAUAAUGACAGUACCGGGAGAAUAAGCCCCGGCUAACUUCGUGCCAGCAGCCGCGGU